GCCUGAAGGAGUGUAUACUGCUGAAGUAUACAUAUGAGAGGGAAGCAUUGCUUGAAUCAAGUCUGGUAGUGCUUCAAAAGGAUACGCUAAGGUGAGAUUUUUCAAAUAUUUCUUGGUAACUGAUGCGGAUGCAUCAGAACUGUUUUUGCUGCUUGUGCUCAUCAGCCUGAGAUCAUUUUUGUAAAGUACUAUAGACGUAUUGAUGCCGAUAAAGUGCUGUACAGUUCCUUGUGUAGAUGGAAGUUGUUGUUCUGUCUUAGAGGGUAUUUCCUGCUUUUCUAGUCUGUCUUCUCAGUAUCUCCCGCUAGUGCCAGCCUUCUCUGAAUGGGCAGAUGCUAAGAAGGAUGUAAUAAAACUAUGAACAACCAUCACUGCCAUCGAAGACCCGUGUCUGGGGCUUUCCGGCACCAGAUCCUCAUUGCUACACCAGUGCUGCUACAGCAGAGCAGGUCUGGAGAUUUUCCCUAUAUUUGUGUAGUAGAACACCAAGCCACAGUUCAUGUGAUGCAAGGUGUUUGGGCUGUAUGAUCACUCCUCUCAGAUACAUAGAUUCAACAGCGCUGUACUCGGGAGAUGUGCCAGCUGCGGUGACAGUGUGUGUCUGUACUUGGGACUGCUUACUGCCUUCUGUAAUGCUCUUUCUUUGUUAGAAUUAGGCUCUCCUGUGUUUCCAUAAAAGCUGUGGUGCCUUCAUGCUUAGGGCUAGCAAAACUCUACCACAUUGCAUGCAGCGGUUUUUCCCUUUCUGAAACCUGCCCUCAUGGAGGCACAACCAGUGUCGCUCACUGGCUCAGCUCUGGCAGGCAACAGGUCCCUUUUGGAGCAGGUUGGAACUGCCUCUUACCUAAUGUGGGGCAGACACUCACAGGGGCCAGCCUUGCAGCUCCCUCACUACCAAGUCAAAUCCUGGCUCAUCUCUGUGCAAACUGACAGUAGUAGCGUGCCUUUUUUGUUCUACAGUUGAGAUUGUCUCAGUGAUUCUUGUCUCUUCACACUGCAGUGUUGUGAGGGCUUCGUAUUUCACUUCUAUGAGGUGAAAUGGAUUGAAUCACUCUGCUUGUGGCUCUAUAUGUUUGCUGUUGGGAGAACAAUGUGGUUAAGCUUAAGAUUUUAGUUUAGAAGCAUUCCAUCUGCCACGAGCAACAGGUCUAGUGGUGAAAAAUAAGUGCAUGUGAUUAGUAUUUAUUUCAUAUUUAGAAAUGCCUGCUAGACUUCUAACUCUUUGCUGCUCCUCUAUUCUGUGUCAGCGGCUGCAUACAACUCAUUUUAGGUCUUCUCCUCACCCUUCGGGGCAGACUGGUCAGGGUAAAAUUCAUCACUGCUUAUUGCAUGGGAGAAGAAAGUCCCCGUUGAGGCUGCAGCCUUGCCUGAGGUUGUUUUUCAGGUCCCUUGCAACCAUGAUGAAACCUAGAAGGAUGCAGAUGCUUCUGAUUCUGGUGGUUCUGUUGUUCCUUCUGAUCCACUUCUACUUUCUAACCUGCAGUAACACUGCCUCCCUGGAAUUAAAACCUUCUCCAGUCCACAUUCUCAUUCUCUCCUCCUGGCGGUCAGGUUCAUCCUUCACUGGCCAGCUUUUCAGUCAGCACCCCAGUGUCUUCUACCUGAUGGAGCCUGCGUGGCACGUAUGGGUUACAAUGUACCAGAACAGUGCCAAGGUCUUGCAUAUGGCAGUGCGGGACCUGGUCAGGUCAGUCUUUCUCUGUGACAUGUCUGUUUUUGAUGCCUACAUGUCUAGCCAGAAGAAAAAGUCUGAUUUAUUUCAGUGGGAGAAAAGCCGAGCCUUGUGCUCCCCCCCUGCCUGUGACUUCUUCAGUCGCAAUGACAUAAUCACUGCAGGAAACUGCAGAACUCUCUGUGGCAGGUACUCAUUCAGCAAGGUGGAAGAAGCCUGUAAAACCUAUAGUCAUGUUGCCAUCAAGGAGGUUCGCUUCUUUGACCUGAAGGUCCUCUACCCACUUCUCACCGACCCAUCCCUGAACCUCAAAAUAAUUCACUUGGUCCGUGAUCCUCGGGCUGUGUUCAGGUCCCGAGAGAAUACAAUGGCAGACCUGAAACGUGACAGUGACAUUGUUGUGGGGUCCCAGAAGACGAAGGGAGAAAUGGGACCUUACAACACAAUGCAAGAAAUCUGCAAAAGCCAUGUUGAGAUUUACAAGGCAGGCAGCCAGGCUAUUCCCAGCUUUCUGAAGGACCGCUACCUGCUAGUUCGUUAUGAAGACAUUGUCAGAGAUCCACUAGGAAAGGCUGCUCAGAUGUAUAGGUUUGCAGGACUCCAUUUCACACCAGAACUUCAGAAGUGGGUGCACAACAUUACCCACGGGAAGGGAAAAGGAGAACAAGCAUUUGAUACUGGAUCCAGAGAUGCACUGAGCACAUCUGAGGCCUGGAGGAACACGUUUCCCUUCGAGAAAAUAGAAAAAGUGCAAAGUGUGUGCAAGGAUGCGAUGGACUUAUUGGGGUACCGGCUAGUUCUUUCUGAAGAAGAGCAGAAAGACGCAUCACUGGAUCUUUUGUUUGGCCAGAACAAAUUCUGAAGGCAGAAAAGCCUCUCUCUCUACCUCCUCUCUGAAUGCUGCAUGGUGGAGAGCUAUUUACUUGUCCUGAAGAGGGUAGAGGUACAUCUGUGGGGAUGGGGGGGCAGUGGGGGGGAAGGGGAGAUGAGGUGAGGUCAGAAUGAGUAACACAGGAAUGCUGACUGUGCUCACGACAGUUUUACCAGCAGCAGCACAGGGCCACUCUCCAAAGCUACAACACAGGCCGGAGUAAUGCAAAUCUGUUAUCGAAAUUAAGUUUGGGGUGUAUGGGAAAGAGGAAUUAUGUGUAGAUGGAAGCAAACAGAUUGCCAGAGGAGUGGAAUCAGGUGUCAGAGCUCAAACCCCUCCACAAGCCACAGCUAAGUACUAGAGAAACCACGUGGAGCAACUGCACUGCAACGGAAGAGGAAAUACAAAUGGGAGCCAAACGAACAGAACAUUCUUUGUCAUGCUGCCACCUGGGAACAGAUAAUGGCAGAAGAGACACAACGAUAACCAUACAGUGUUUUCUGGAAAGAUCUUUUCUUCCCCCCCCCCCCCCAGAAUGGCUCUUUUCAAGACAGGCCUUCCCUCCCCUUCUCCCCCCCCCUCCCCCUCAGGCACUAUUCCUGUGCCUGAGCCUUCAACAUUGAUGGCAAUGUUGGCAAAAUGUCUGCAUUCAUUUUCCAUAUAGUAGGAAGAUAGAAUAAACCAGCUACAGUUGUAAAUGAAAACUCCUCGUUUUGCACAUAGGGAUCUAUUUCUGGGAUGAGGUGAACCCACUGAUAAUUAUAUCUUCCAGUUUUCAAAACCAGAAAGAGUUCUUGACCUGGGAGUUCUCACAGUUCAUGUAAGAAUGAGAAGAAUUCAUGCUAGUGCUAAGACCAUAAAGACAGGCUAGGAACAGAGAUUCUAUUGAUAUACAUAGUGAAACUGAAAGAUAGGUUCAUGGCAGUGUAUUUAAAAAAAGCUGAUAAGAGAACAGUAAAUUAUUAUAUUGCACUAUUUAUUUGGCGAAAGUAUUUCCUGUCUUAGAGUAUGUGCCAGGGACCUGAAGGUCCCUGACUAAAGAAUGAUCCUAGGAUGGAACAAAGUAUCCUGACAGUUUUAAGGGAACUGAUAUUUGUGUCUGUAGCUGCAAAUACCUUGUUUUGUUGAGAGAGCUGACCUUGGUAGCUGGCCUUGUUUUUGCAGACUUGUUUUGCAAGCAGGUAUUCCUCUUGGGCUCUGUGUCACACAUAGGCCAUGUGAGUACAGCAUGCAAUGGAACAAACCCUGCAGACCCUGGGGAGAAUCAAAGCAAGAGAGAGCCUGCGGUGGGGGAGAGGAAAAAUGCCCUUUGAUGCAAGGGAUGCCCUGCUGGUACUGCCUAUCGCAUCUACUGCCAGCAUGGUCCUUCUCUCUCCUUUUCAGUGGUUUGCCAUCUCUUGAGGGUUGGUAAGUAACAGUACACUUGCUGAGGGAGGUUCUGCUUCCUGCUUAUGGGGAUUAUCUAAAAAUGGAUGCUUGUGUGUAUAUGUUGACUAAAACUCAUAACCCUCUGUGCUCCUCUGAGUGCAUGGUUUGCUUGCCUCUGCUGCUGAGCCAUCCUGUCUCUCACAUCCAAGUGUACCCUGAAAAGAGCACCAUAAAACUAUGUUCCAUAGAGUAUGCCAUUCUCCACUAUCUCCCAUAUCAAUCAGAAAUGCCAUUCUUCCAUCUCCAAUGGGAAUAUGCAGAUUAAACCUGAACAACAGAAUUUUUAUCUGUUUAUAACAGCGCUUUGUAAGAAAAUGGGGAAAUCUUGUUACCAGACGUGGAACAAAAUGCUCACAAACAGCCUCUUCUGAGCAUCUCAUUUCAAGUGCAAGUUGCAGUGUCCCUUUAACAUGGAUCCCCAACUUAGCCAUGUAAGGUGUUAUACAUCUUGAGUUCUAGAACAGCUUUGGUUCCCCAAGACUAUUUCAUCAAACUGUGAGGUAAUGGAACUACUGAAAUACAUCAUGCAAGCUGGAACAGGUGUUUCUGGUUAAGGGUCUCGUGCUACUGAACCUGGCCAUCAGCAGUCCUUGGAUUUUGAAUCCAGCUGCAAAAGAUCUAGCAAACAAUACUUACUAUUUGCUAUGGUAUCUUCCAGUUUCUUCUUAAGUGCCUAUCUGGACUUCCAUGUAAAUCCCAAGGAACUAGUCAGAGCAACAGGAAUAUACCAUAUCAUUCUCACUGUUUCAGUACAAAUGAACAAUCCAAUAAAACACCACAGUGUUAAA